UUUUCGAUACUUUUGAGUUGCCAGACCAAAUCCCACAUUACCGAAGUUUAAUGUUCAAUUACUGCCAUCGUAGCAACCAGGUUGUUUCUUAUGUCAUUCGAAAAAUUGAUAUACCUUAGUGAAAACUCUACAUAUUCAGUCUGAUUCAAGUGUUCUGUAGGAGAACACAUAAGAAAACCAGUAAAUUCAAAAUUAAAAAAAAAAUCCUUUGGCAUUCAAACAUUUCGGUUUUAGAUUAAGUGCAAAAAGUGGUUUUUAUACUUUUAUAAAAAAAAAAACAAGUCAAAAAUUGAGCUCAGAUUUGUUUAUCCCCAUAUAAAUCAAGUAAUUUAAACAAAAACAAACAACCGCAUGCACGCACGCACGGGGUGGAGCGGUCCACAAAGAAGUAUACAGAGCUGAUUAGAUUGAGUUGAGCAAAUGAAAACCAGAGAACUACACAUGGAA